GACGAACGCUGGCGGCGUGCCUAAUACAUGCAAGUCGAGCGAAUUGAUGGGAGCUUGCUCCCUGAUAUUAGCGGCGGACGGGUGAGUAACACGUGGGUAACCUGCCUGUAAGAUUGGGAUAACUCCGGGAAACCGGAGCUAAUACCGGAUAACAUUUCGAACCGCAUGGUUUGAAAUUGAAAGAUGGUUUCGGCUAUCACUUACAGAUGGACCCGCGGCGCAUUAGCUAGUUGGUGAGGUAACGGCUCACCAAGGCAACGAUGCGUAGCCGACCUGGAAGGGUGAUCGGCCACACUGGGACGGAGACACGGCCCAGACUCCUACGGGAGGCAGGAUUAGGGAAUCUUCCGCAAUGGACGAAAGUCUGACGGAGCAACGCCGCGUGAACGAUGAAGGCCUUCGGGUCGUAAAGUUCUGUUGUUAGGGAAGAACAAGUACCAGAGUAACUGCUGGUACCUUGACGGUACCUAACCAGAAAGCCACGGCUAACUACGUGCCAGCCGCCGCGGUAA
rnacentral:rRNA from 1 species